rnacentral:rRNA from 1 species
UACGGAAGGCAGCAGUGGGGAAUAUUGCACAAUGGGCGCAAGCCUGAUGCAGCCAUGCCGCGUGUAUGAAGAAGGCCUUCGGGUUGUAAAGUACUUUCAGUCGUGAGGAAGGUGUUAAGGUUAAUAACCUUAGCAAUUGACGUUAGCGACAGAAGAAGCACCGGCUAACUCCGUGCCAGCAGCCGCGGUAAUACGGAGGGUGCGAGCGUUAAUCGGAAUUACUGGGCGUAAAGGGCACGCAGGCGGUUAAUUAAGUUGGAUGUGAAUCCCCGGGCUUAACCUGGGAAUGGCAUUCAAGACUGGUUAGCUAGAGUCUUGUAGAGGGGGUAGAAUUCCAUGUGUAGCGGUGAAAUGCGUAGAGAUGUGGAGGAAUACCGGUGGCGAAGGCGGCCCCUGGGACAAAGGCUGACGCUCAUGUGCGAAAGCGUGGGGAGCAAACGAGGAUUAGAUACCCGU